GGGCGCAAGCCUGAUGCAGCCAUGCCGCGUGUAUGAAGAAGGCCUUCGGGUUGUAAAGUACUUUCAGCAGUGAGGAAGGUGGAUGUGUUAAUAGCGCAUUCAUUUGACGUUAGCUGCAGAAGAAGCACCGGCUAACUCCGUGCCAGCAGCCGCGGUAAUACGGAGGGUGCGAGCGUUAAUCGGAAUUACUGGGCGUAAAGCGCAUGCAGGUGGUUUGUUAAGUCAGAUGUGAAAGCCCGGGGCUCAACCUCGGAAUUGCAUUUGAAACUGGCAGACUAGAGUACUGUAGAGGGGGGUAGAAUUUCAGGUGUAGCGGUGAAAUGCGUAGAGAUCUGAAGGAAUACCGGUGGCGAAGGCGGCCCCCUGGACAGAUACUGACACUCAGAUGCGAAAGCGUGGGGAGCAAACAGGAUUAGAUACCCUGGUAGUCCACGCCGUAAACGAUGUCUACUUGGAGGUUGUGGCCUUGAGCCGUGGCUUUCGGAGCUAACGCGUUAAGUAGACCGCCUGGG
rnacentral:rRNA from 1 species